GAUGAACGCUGGCGGCGUGCCUAAUACAUGCAAGUCUAGCGAACAGACGAGGAGCUUGCUCCUCUGACGUUAGCUGCGGACGGGUGAGUAACACGUGGAUAACCUACCUAUAAGACUGGGAUAACUUCGGGAAACCGGAGCUAAUACCGGAUAAUAUAUUGAACCGCAUGGUUCAAUAGUGAAAGACGGUUUUGCUGUCACUUAUAGAUGGAUCCGCGCCGCAUUAGCUAGUUGGUAAGGUAACGGCUUACCAAGGCAACGAUGCGUAGCCGACCUGAGAGGGUGAUCGGACACACUGGAACUGAGACACGGUCCAGACUCCUACGGGAGGCAGCAGUAGGGAAUCUUCCGCAAUGGGCGAAAGCCUGACGGAGCAACGCCGCGUGAGUGAUGAAGGUCUUCGGAUCGUAAAACUCUGUUAUUAGGGAAGAACAAAUGUGUAAGUAACUAUGCACGUCUUGACGGUACCUAAUCAGAAAGCCACGGCUAACUACGUG
rnacentral:rRNA from 1 species